GAAGCCCGGGAGACGCGUAGGCCGCGGUCCCCAGGCCCGGUGUUUUGAAGUCGGCGGCUGCCCGCGUUCCGCGCCGAGUAACGGUCUUCGGAAUUCAGAGCCUUCGCCUUAGGGAAGGUGGGACGGUCGCCAGUUUCUCCAGCACUUUCUUCGUCCAGGGACGUCAACCUCUCUUGCCUGCUGUCCUCAGGGACUGACAGCGGGGCCUGCUCAGAAGUUCUCGUCGGGACUCUCUACAGGCCUUUGUGACUAAGUGCUAGGGAUAUCUCAGAAGUGCAACUUCUGCUGUACCCUGCUGCUUCAGGUCUUUCUUCCUUUUGAGAAGCCUGGUUGUUUUUUCACUCUGCUGAUUGUUUCCUUUGCUGUACAGAAGAUUAUGGCGGGGCCAAGGAUCCCAACUUGCUUUCCAGGGUGUUGGUGAGAUUCCAGUGAGACGCUGGAAGGGCAAGUUUUCAUCACCAAUCAAAGGCCUGCAGAUCCAGGACUGACACUACUUGUGGACAUGCUUACCUCACAAAGCUG